GACUGUAGCAUCUCGGUUCAAACCUCUUCCAGGGAACAUGAUCUGGUUUAUGAAGAGAGAAUGGCAGGAUUCCUAUGAAGAGCCAUGUGUUUACUUGUGUUUUAUUUUUGUAGACAUUAUUUUUCACAUGUGAAUAUGAUGAAAUGAGGUGGGCAGCUGUAACUUGGGGGUUUGGCUCAUUUGUUUUGGGAAGAUGCUUGUCUUUAAUGAGAUUUUAUUUUGGGCUCUAGUAAAGCUCACUUUAAAAUCCUGAUAAAAGCAAAUUUGCAAUGCAGAAACUCCAGACUUAAUGAUGGUUUUGUGUGGGAGCUUGGCUUGCAUCACUCAUGCAAACUGCUCUGUAGAGCUGUACCCUUGACCUAACGAAGUUACUAAUGCUCAUGUGUGAGUAGGCGGCCAGCCACCAAAGGAGGCUUGAACCACAUCCUUGGUUAGAGGUUUUCACAAGUCUUUGUCAGGAAUACUAGUGCUCAGACAUGUGUUAUACUGCCAAGGUCUUCCGAGGAGGUUUUGCCUGAGGUGCUUUCGGUGCUUCUGACUACUCAGAACAUUUGUGUUUAUUCUUGCAUUGUUCUUGUUUGUCUUUGCCUCUCCCCCAGGUCAGGAUGCUGUCUGGACCAGUCUGCGCUGUCGGCAUACCAGCAGGUGGAGCGUUGGUAACAACAUACUGCUGAGUCCCUCCAGCAUUUAGGGAUUGCCAUGUAAGUCCUGCUCAGCUGAUUUCAGUGGAGGUGGAGUCUCCUGACUCUGUUUGGCAUGGAAGCCUGUGGGAAUUGCUCCAUCUUUACAUGCAGCGUUAACGAAAAGUGCCAAAGGAUAGUUUCAGACAUGCAGUUGGUGUGAACUUUGCAGAGGGAAAGGCAUCUUGGUGUUCCUCUGCUGGUUUAUCCAAAUGCCAGUUUCCUGCAAGGCAUGGAAGUAUUGAAGCUAAUCCAAAAUAGUUAUGAAGUUGAUACUAGCUUUAAGGGAGCAUGAUUUUGCCAAAUUCCUUCUCUUUGCUGGUUUUUUACUGUGUCAUUGAGAUACACAGCUUGCUUAUGUUACUGUUUCCCACUCUGAACAUUGAUGCCGGAGGUCUUGAGUAUUGCUGUCUCUUUCCUUUUUUGGGGGGUGGUGGGGAAAGGUUCCUGUUGUGGUUAAGCAAUUCACCUCUAUUGAUUUAACACUAUAUUGCCACCAGAACAAGCAGUCCUGGCCUAUACAGCACCUUCUUCCUGGGUCCUAAGGAUUGUAGUGCUAUCCAGUGACUGACAUCAGCUACCUGCUGUAGCAGAAAACUGAUGUGGUUGUCUUUUCUUUUCCAGGAUUAUUUUGCAGCUAAUACAGUGCUUGUCCAAACAACUGGCCCCAUGAACCAUGGCAUAAAAUUCCUGUAACAAUGGAGGAAGUAGGAGUCCCUCAGCUGGAAGCCAGGGAGAGCAGGACUGUACUUCUGCCUCAGUGCUCUUACCGUGUUCAACGUAAACCAUCCUGAGAGUGCACCAUCAGUCAGGCUCUGUGGCGUGAGUAUUCUCUUCAUGUUGUUGGAAUGGUCAUUGUGUAACAGCCUACUUCUUUAAGAUAAUUACAAAGCAAUCCUAAAUUGCACUGAAUGAUGUUCUUAUUGCGCAGUUGUUUUCCAUUUGAGGUGUGACAAAGGUCUCUGCUACAUGUGAUUGUUGCAUUCAUGCAUUAAUCUGUAGAUAUGCAUAGGAUUUAAGUGUUUAGAUCCUUUGCCUUAAAAUACAGCUAAUGAAAAUUGCUUCAGAUGAAUUUUGGAGUAACUGGGUUAUCUCCAGAAUGCCUAUCACUAUAGGCUGGAUAGGGACAUUCUUUGCUGCUGAACAUGCCAAUUGACUUCCUUUGGGUAAAACAAAAUUGAAGGGUGUGCUUCUGGGCUUGGCUAAUGCGUUUGGUUUAAGGCUGUUUAGACCAUAGGUAGGUCUAGAGCAAGUUCUGAAAUGAGAUCAUGUGGAAUAUAUGUAGCUUGAAUAUUGUCUUCAGCACGAGCUGUUUUGUUUUGCUGAUCUCUUGCAGUGCACUACCCACUAAUGUGGGUGUAGGGUUUUGUUGUUUGGUUUUUAUUUUAGAUGAAUGCAUUGGUUAGUUAACCAAAAGAAACACACCAGGUAAUGCAAGAAAGAGAGUUCAUUUUAGCUACUAGGUCUUAUUGAUUGAGAGGUACUCAUUCUUGUUUUGAAGCUUGGUGACAGCAUGAGAUAACUGAAGAUUCGCAGGCCCAAAGGAUCCAAAAAGCAGGAUUAUAGUGUCAGAUUGGAGGAUCUUCGGAAUCUUAUACUUAAGGAUGCCUUUAAAAAGAUGGAGCUCAUUUUCUACAGACAGCUUUGUCAUCUUGGACCAGAGAUUCAGGUUACUUUGAAAGAAGAAAAGGCAAACCAUGGGCCUAACUUAGGAACUGGAAGGCUCUUCAGAAUACCAAGGAGACAUGUCAUGUACAGUUUGAAGCCAUUACCCCUUGU